AAGUCACCCAGAUAAACAUUUUUCCGAAAAACAUUCAAUGUUACGUUAUGACCAAAUUAUGUCAAAAGAUUUAAAAAUUUAGCUUUCUGAAGAUGUUUUGAUGACAUCAUCAAAUAAUGCAGUUUUUUGUUGUGUUCAAAUUUCCAAUCCAAUCUGUUUUAUUUAUAAAGUACAGUUUAAAGGAACACAAAGGUUCCCAAAGUGCUGUACAAUAAAAUCGAAUAAAUAAAUAAAUCGACUCUGAUUUCAAUGUCCUCCCCAGAUAAAAUAUCUGUGCACAUAAAAUCAACAACAUACCUAGUGUUAAAAGCCAAAGAAAAGAGGUGCGUUUUAAGAAGAGUUUUAAAAUUAGACAAUGAGGAGGCCUGUCUAAUGUGCAGCGGCAUUUUGUACAAUGGUUUUGGAGCUGCAACAGAAAAUGCUCGGUCCCCUCUGAGCUUCAGCCUCGUUUUUGGAACCCUCAGGAGCAGCUGGUCAGCUGACCUGAGAGAUCGGCUGGGUGUGUAGGGGUGAAGAAGUUCAGCGAGGUACGACGGGGCAAGACCAUUUAGAGAUUUAGAGAGCAAAUAAAAUAAAUUCUGAAAUGCACGGGUAGCCAGUGGAGUGAAACUAAAAUCGCUGAAAUGUGCUCAAACUUCCUUGUGCCUUCUCUGUUAUAAGGCGUGCAGCUGCAUUUUACACCAGUUGAACACGUGCAAUGGAGGACCCAUAUAAAGUGCGUUGCAGUAAUCCAGCCGAGUGGUCUUUAUAAAUAACGCUGUGUAUAUGGUUCGAUUUAAAUCAAAAUAUGUUAAUUCUAUAACAAAACCCAGUGUUGUCACAGUGUGAGUUACAAACAAAAGCAUUCAACUGAAGUUUUCCAGUGGCCAAACCCAUCAGGCUGGCGUUGCCCAGUCCAGUGUUACAUUACAUUACAACGUCAUUCAGCAGCGGCAAAACUACAAUUUCAGCUUUUAUCAAGGCGGAUACUUACACACAGUCUUGUUUCAACCACUGCAAAUGUCAUCAUACAGAGAGAGAGAGAGAGAUGCAUCCUAAAUGAAAAGAGGACGUUGCAGAUAAUAAGAAGCUAUGAGACUUAAGUCAGGAAAACAGAAGAGAAAGAAUGAGCAAUGAAAGGAGAGGGAAAGCCCAGAUAAGCGGAGCGUAUCACCAAACCGGCGUAAUUACCUAUCAUCCUCCGCUGUAAUGGUUCUCUUAUCAUCUGACGCUUUGGAGAAGGGGAAACUUUAGAAACUCAUCCGUUUUUCUCAUUCAUAUCUUUUCUGCACCCCAGCUCUGUCUGCAGCCGGUCAGGAGAAGGGGGAUUAAACAGUUGCGAGGGAAAAAGGAGACUAGUGACCUAAAAGGUCAAGAGGAGGACAGGGAGGAAGUGGCCAAAUAUGGUCACAGCAUGGGAGAAUGGAGAACCUGAGGUAGGGACAGAGAGACGGUUAGAUGAAGAAAUAGAGAGGAAGAGACAGUUCGCAGCUUACGGGGUCUUGAAAAUGUCAGGAAAUUAAAACAGGUGUGCUUUGAAGGACAAACUACAGCCCCGUGGCGCCGCUCUGGAGGAUUAAGGAGGCCUUGCCGCACCCCAGGCCCAGAUAGACUUUAUUGUCCCGAAGGAAAUUUGUCCAGGAAACAUCGUACCAGGUAGCCCAGAUCCGGCUUAAGCUCGGCACACCAACUCGGCUGAGACUCGGGAUGAAUGACGCCCCAGAAUCCGGCGUGCAACACUGCCGUCACUGGGCGAUAAUCGAAAAUAACCAGGGCCAGCAUUGGCCCAAACCCGCCACUACUAAAUAAACGCCUCGGCCCGGGUCCAGUUGUCAACUUUUUCAUUGUCCUGUUGUCGACCAACCGUGGGUCCGGUUGCGGACAAGGCUGAGACUCUGUAUGAAUGACCCCCCAGAAUCUACUGAAUCUAUUCUUUUACUUACAAAAUUAAGCCACUCAAGAUCACAUUGUUUGGUGAAAAAAAAAUAUUAUGUCCAGUAAAGAUGAAAACCAUAAGACAAAUAAAGAAAGGUACAUAUUGUUUUUAUUUAUUAAGUUAUUAAACAAAAACAUUUUGAGCAUCCUUGCAACCACAAAGAAACAAAUGACAAAUACGAUACAAUAAAUAUUGUCAUAAUACAUUGUAUACAAAACAGACCAAUGUUACAGUGAAUUUGUAGAAAGGGUUAAAUUAAAUUAAGACUCAAACUGCCAAACAAGACCAGAGACGUUUUUCUUGGUCCAAUAUUCAGCCUGUACUGAUGAGACUUCAGUUUUACUUGUCGUGGUUGGAAAAGUACAGGUGUAAAUAAUUAACUGCAUGAGGGCAGAAUAUAGCAUAUAGCAUAUAGCAUAAGGUUGCUCGCUCACUGUGGGUCUUUCUUAGAAAAAUGUUACUCAACACCCGAGUAAAAUCAUUACGCGGGACCUUGAAAGUAGCAGACAGAAUUGACACACAUACAAGUGUGCAUCAAGGCUACUCAAAGGUUUUCUUCUCCGGUGAUAGUUCAAGUAGCACACACACAUACUAAAGAAAAGGGAGGUCUGCACAAGAUCUUGGACUGGUAUUGAAAUAGCAAAGAGUCUUCUUAAUCACUAGAGGUCACUUUGUUGUGGGAGAAUAUAAACCUUUACACUAUGCGUUCAAUGAGACUAUCUGGACAUUGACACACAAAUCACCUUGACCGUUAGUUGAACCUGGAAAAAUGUAAAAAUAUUUUAAAUAAUGAAACAUUAUUUAAGAUUUUCCAACAGUGGUUCCCAAGAAUGCUUCCAGGUUCUAAAGAGACAGGGCCUGACCGUGCCAUUGGAGAGUAAUAAUACUCUCCAAUACAAUUAAAAACGCAUAAAAAUCUCUAAUUGGUGAUCUACAGCCAUCCAGCUACCAUAGAACAUAGACAAAAGAUUGAAAAAAAAUAACAUUCUGAAACAAACUCAAUAGAAACACAACAAAUGAUUCAAGCCAUCUUUAACUUUGGUUUGGGGAAAAGGAACCCUAACCCAUUUAACUCAUAAUGCUAGAUGUGAAAAAAAUGUUAUGAUCUUCUUGAAGCCACUACUACACCCCAUAAUGAUUAACUGUACUUUUGCCACCAAUUAAUUCUUCAAUCAAAAUGAAUAGAAAGAAAAUCAGAAUAAUUGGUUAUUCUAGCCGAUCUGUUCCAACAGUCAACAAAUAUGGUUUGUUGAAAUAAACUCUUAAUUAAGAGUGGGAGGAAUUUCUCUGAUUAUCAUGUAUAAAGUUUGUUAAAAUAGCCAAUUUCUUCCCCCCCCCCAGAAAAACAUUUCUGGACUGUUGUGGUAAAAGAUGAAGAAGUUAUUUAUCUUUUAGCAUUUAAAGGAUUCUUGAAAUAAGAAAAGUCCGUUGGCUGGAUUUGAUGAUCCUCCUUGAGGCAUCCUUUACAUUCAGCAAAAGAAGGAUCCUGAGAUACACUGAGUAUAGCUGAGUAGGGAAGGGUGUAACUACUAAUACCUGUGCCUUUCCUACCAUGACACGUCAAAAGGUCUGCUGUGAAAGAGAUUGUUUGUGUAGCCGUGACAUAUGGAGUGGCGUAAAUGGAGAGAGAUAGUAGAAUAUGAAAGGAGGGGAUAGGAACAAGAGAAAAUAGGUAGUAAGGAACAAACAGAGGGAAACAAAAAGAGAGUGAAGGGAAUGGAACAAGGCAUGUGAUACAAAUUGGAUUAAGUGGAUAGUGCUACAGCUGCAGUAAUAAUAAUAAUUGGUUUUAUAUAGCGCUUUUCUAAAUGUCUCAAAGACGCUUUAACAUAGUCGAAGGGGGGAUGGUGAGAGGCAGACAGGCAGGAGACAAGACACGAGGGGCGACAUAUACGGGCCGAUCACAUACAACUACAUAGACUGAAAGGUAGGGGAAGGGAGGGAGGGGGCUACGGGUAAGCAGAUGAGAAAAUAUGUGUUUUGAAGCGGGACUGGAAUGUGGUGAUGGAGUCGGAGUCUCUGAUGAGAAUGGGGAGUGAGUUCCAGAGCUUGGGAGCUGCCCUGGAGAAUGCUCUGUCCCCAAAGCUGCGGAGUUUGGAUGUGGGGGUGAAAAGUAGUCUGGCCGAGGUGGAUCUGAGGGACCGAUGAGGUUGGUAGGGGGAAAGGAGUUCAGAGAGAUAGGGAGGUGCAAGUUGGUUGAAGGCUUUGUAGGUGAGGGUCAAGAUUUUGUAGGAGAUCCGGUGGGAGACGGGGAGCCAGUGGAGGUCUUUCAGGACUGGGGUGAUAUGGUGCCAUGAUUUGGUGUGGGUGAGUAGUCGUGCAGCUGCAUUCUGGACCUGUAAUUUAUUCAUGGAUGUGUUGCUGAUGCCAUAGAGGAGUGAGUUGCAAUAGUCAAGACGGGAGGAAAUGAAAGCUUGGAUGAGUUUCUCUGCUGUAGGGGGUGUGAGAGACGGACGAAUUUUUGCGAUGUUGCGUAGGUGGAAGAAGGAUAUUUUGACCAGUUGACGGAUGUGUGGCUCAAGGGAGAGGGUGGAGUCGAAUAUUACGCCAAGGUUGCGUGCCUGGGGGGAGGGGGAAACAGAGAUGCCAUCGAUGUUGAGUGUGAGGUUGUUGGUUUUGGUGAGGGUAGAUUUGGAGCCGAUGAGGAGGAGUUGUGUUUUGUCGCUGUUGAGUUUGAGAGAGUUCUGUUGCAUCCAGGCUUUAAUUGCAGAGAGGCAGGCGUUGAUGUGGGAGAGUGGUGGGUUGUGAGGGGUGUUGGUGCUGAGGUAGAUCUGAGUGUCGUCAGCAUAGCAGUGGAAGUCCAGGUUGAAGUGACGAAGGGAAUAAGUAGAUUAUGAACAGGAGUGGACCUUGUACAGAGCCUUGGGGGACACCUUGUGUAACUGUGGAUGUGGCAGGAGUUUUUGUGAAGGGAGAUGAAGUAAGAUCUGUUUGUGAGGUAUGACUGGAGCCAGCUAAGUGCAGUACCUUCAAUACUGAUGGCUUGGAGUCUGGUGAACAGGAUAGUGUGACUCACGGUGUCGAAGGCUGCACUUAGGUCCAGGAGGAUGAGGAUGUUGAGGGCUCCGGUGUCUGUAGAGGUGAGGAGGUUUCUUGAGUAUGGGGGUGACAGCAGCUUUUUUGAAGGCUGAGGGGACAAGUCCAUGGGACAGUGAGGAGUUAAAGAGGUCGGUGAGGUAGGGGCAUAGCACAGGGAGGCAGGACUUCAGCAGGGUGGUGGGGAGGGGGUCCAGGGAGCAGGUGGUGGGCUUGUAUGUGCUGAUGAGUUUGGCAAUGGUUGCCGAGUCAACAGGGUCGAACCGGGAGAGGCGGUGUAGGGGAGGAGGGGACAAGGGGUCCAGCAGGAUGGAGAAAAAGGGGCUUGGUGUGGUUGCUGCUGGGUCAGACACAGGGAGCAGUGAAUUAUUGAUCGUGGUGAUUUUGUCACUGAAGAACUGAAGAAAUGAGUUACAUAGAUCAGGCGAGGGGUCAGUGAGGGUAUUGGCUCGAGGCUUGAGGAGAGUGUUGACAAUGGAGAAGAGUGUUCGGGGGUUGCGAGUGGGGUCAUUGAUGAUGUUGGAGAAAUAGUGAGAUUUGGCAGCAGUAAUGGCGUCUUUGUAGAUGAUGAGGUGAGAUUUGUAGGCUUCAAGGUGAACGGUGAGUGAAGAUUUUCUCCAGAGGCGUUUGAGUUGGCGGCUGGUCUGUUUGAGUUUUCUGAGGUGGGGUUUGAACCAGGGGGAGGAGGUGUUGAAUGAAACAGUUUUGGUUCUCAGGGGGGCCAGUGCGUUGACGGAGGCAGACAGGGUGGCGUUGAGGUGGUUGGUGAGGUCAUCGGGCGAGGUGGGGGGUGGGUCCAGGUAGAGGGUAGCAGAUAGCAGGUCAGAGAGAUGGAGGGGAUCAAUGGAUUUGACGUCGCGGAAUGAGAUGAAUCUGGGGAGUUUCAGACGGGGUGAUGGGGAAGGCAUCGUGAAAUGGAUGAGUUUGUGAUCAGAUAGGGCAAAGGGGGAAGAUUGAAUGUUCAGAACCGGGACGAUGGCAGAACAGACGAGAUCCAGAAUAUGGCCUUUAUUAUGUGUGGGGAAGGUGAUGUGUUGGGUGAGGUUGAAGUUGUACAGUAGAGCAGAGAAAUCCGAGGCAUGUUUACAGGUGGGGGAGUCCAUGUGGAUGUUGAAGUCGCCCACUAGAAGUAGGGGUAGCGGGGAAGAUGAAGCUAGGAUAAGGAGUUCAGACAGAUCGGAGAUGAAGGAUGAAUUUGGUUUAGGUGGCUGGUAAGUGAGAAUAACUGUGUUGGAGCAGGUUUUGAAGGCGAGGAAUUCAAAUGAAGUGACUGUGGGCAAAGUGAGUUCGAUGGUCCUGAAGUUUUUGUUGAAUAUGACAGCGAGGCCCCCUCCACGCCGGGAGGGGCGGGGUUUGCAGAGAUAGCCGAAAUUGGGGGGGGAAGCUUGGUUGAGGGAGAAGUAGUCGUUGGGUUGUUGCCAGGUUUCAGUGAGCAGGAGGAAGUCCAGUGAAUUGUCCAGGAUGAGUUCAUGGAGAAUGGGGGCUUUAUUGUUGAGGGAUCGGGUGUUGAGGAGGGCAAAGUUGGCAUGGCAAGAGGGUGGUUGGAUAGGGGCAGGCUGGAGAGGUCGGUGGGGUGUCGGGGUGUUGCAGUUGAGCGGGGACAGAAGCAGUGUAGUCCAGUCCGGGUUUUCUGUGCAGCCUGAUGGUGCGUUCAGUCCUAUGAGAGCCAGUGGGAAGCAUUCUGAUGACGUGGGACCGGUGCGACAGAGCGUGCAGGUGACCAGAUGGAUGGAAUGGAAUGUCCGUGGUGUAAGAAAACAAACUUGCGACGAGAACUUCUGUGGAUGUAACGGGGUCGACGUAGAAGUCCGAGUUGUCUGAUGAUUGGGAUGCAGGAUGGAAUGAACAAACAAACAGACAAGGAAAAACGGUAGCAGACGGACGGACGGGCAGAGAAGCGGCGAACAGAACAGCGCCAGCGUCCUCUCCACGCUGUGGAUAGCAACACAUGCAAACACGUCCACCGUCUCAAACACGGGACAGUAGUUAGCGUGUUCCAUUAUUCAUGUGGUGGUUGGGUCAUAUUGAGGUUUUCAUGAGCACUACUUCUUCUAGACAGGUGGGUUUAAUAUUGGUCUCCUGGGUGCCGCCAUCUCUGAAAUGUAAAACUUCCAUUCAACAAUACUGUCAAUUCCUGUGUUUUUUCCCCAGGCUGAGAGAUUUUUUACACGGUCAGUCCAUAUGCUGAUUCUUUUCCUUUUUUUCGUAUCAGAAAUCAGUUCAAUGUGUCAAGACAUGGUAAGGCAAUUUUAUUUGUAUACCAUAUUUCAACAACAAGGCAAUUCAAAGUACUUCAUAUAAAAACAUCUAAGCAUAAAGCAAGCAGAUUUACAAAUAGUUAAGAACAUGAAAGAUUUAAACAUGAAAGAAAGUUGAAACAUUUUUUUAAAGGCGUUAAACUAAAAAUAGAAUAAAAUCUGCAGUUCAUGAAUUUCUGUAAGAAUUCCAAAAUGCAGAAAGAAUGCAGUCAAUUAAAGGCAGCAGCAAGUGAAGGUGGAGGUGCCAAAUUAUGCAGAUUGGCAUUCCAUCGGUUUCCCUUCUCACCCAUUAUUUAUUGUCAGCAGCUGCUAGUCCUGCACGCCAAACUAACAGGGAAGCCAGAGGAGCCACACGCUAAAGGCAGUAUCCUGACGUACUUUGGUUAUUUAUAAAUCUGAGCCUUGUUCUCUUGCCAGCCUCAUGUCCUCCGCUCGUCUGUUUGGUUUUGACUUUUGCUCAUUCUUCACAAGUACACAAGUACGGGACAACAUUCAAGUUACACUUGAACUUUCUAUUUUAGCUGACAGUGUUUGCGUUUGCCAUGGGCUCAUCAGAAAACAUUCACUGCAGGCGUUUCCACCCACUUCUCAAUACUCGAUUUUUACAGUCACUGACACAGACUUCACUCGUAGAGGAAUUCAAAGAGGUGUACACCUUCACUUAAAAAGGAGACCGUUGGCGUUUUUGUCACUUGGUAAUUGGAUCAGUCACUGUAAUAAUAAUGAGUAAUCCACUAGCAGUAAUCCUGUUAGUUAAUUUAGCUUUAUUUAAUCGGGAACCCUCAUUGCGAUCUGGUAGCAACCCGUGGCUCGGGAAAGUGAAGCCAAUGGGGAAGUGUCCUUCACCUGCAUUCCCCCUAAUAACCAGCAGUGGGCGAAAAGGGGGUCGAAGUGUGCAUUCCUCUACACCUGUUUGCCUGCUGAGGUUCCUUUGGAUGGGGUGUCCUUCUGAUUGGACAACACAAACCUCUGUGAUGUGUAUUAAUAUUUCUUUCAUAACUUUCUUGCUCUUUUCGGGAGUAGGAAACUCACCCUUUUCAGCUGAAUUGAGUCAUUGAAUUCUCUGACUGUGCUUAUGGCUCAUGUUUGAUGAUUUUGGUAUUCUGCUAUAUGAUUUUUCAUAAUAAUUUUAGUUAGUAAUAAAUACUUCAUCACAAACUAGUUUGAGAUACUUUUGAUUUCUCUCAAGGACAUUAUCAAAAACGUAUAAUGCUCAACGUUCAACAUUCAUAAAACAUGAAGCAAGCAGCAAAUAAUAUCCAAUGGUAUCUGCAAAAUAAACAAUGUUUCAAGGUAUAAUUUAGAGAUGAUAUAGACUUCUGUUCCAUAUAAAAAAUGUUUGAACUUUGAGAUUUAAAAAUAAUAAUAAUAAUUAAUAACAAUAAUAAUAAUUUUGCUCUUUUGACAAAAGUGCCCUUUAAUGUUAGUAAGGAAAAAAGGGUCCCAGUCGGAUUCAGACCAAGCACAUUGUGUCUGUUUAGUGAUUGAGUGAGGAAGUUCUUAACUUCUCAUUUCAGGUUGAAAUAGGCCACACACAGAAUAGCCAUAUAGAAUCUUUUCUGCUGUCUGCCCACUUUAAAGUUCACGAAGGACAUGAUUGCAAGCUUUCCUGGUGGCCAGUCAGCUUCUAUGCCACUUAUCCUUUUAACAGGGUCAAUCCCAGCCAAUACACAGACACGGGGAGAACAUGCAGACUUGAUAAAGUGUAGGUGAUUUUAAGGUUCAGUUACUUUUAUGUUCUGCCCAAUUGAGGCAAACUACACCUACAUUUUACUCGUAACGAACCCAGGACCUUCUUGCUGUGAGGCGACAGUGCUAACCACCAUACCACCCUGCUGCCCCCUAGAUGGUGACGUCAUACAAAAUUAGAAGAUUUUUGUCAGGAAAAACACCAGAUAUUAUUUCACACUAAUUGAAGUUGUCACAAUUUGUGGAUUGUAGAUAGUUUAAUGAAGAAUAACAAGAAAAGGGAAGGAAAUAACAAGCUACAAAGUCCAAUGAGAUGACAACUGCACUGCUUAAUUAAAAUACAUAUUUUUUGAAACUUCAAAAUAACACUUAUUUCCACCAUAUGGUCACUUUUAUUUGCCAUCUGUCCUUCAAUUCUGCUUGUAUUAUGCAGCGUGAAUGCAUUUUAAUUAAAUUUUACAAUCAGCUGGUACGUCAUCCUUCCUACCAACAGUGCUGGUCUUCAGGUACUUGAAAGAAACAGAUGUUGCAUCUUUAAGAACAGAGAUCGCACUGAAUAAAAUGUAUUCUUGCUCUGUCAGUCAGAUUUAAUAGAAUAUUGUUCUGUUGUAAUGGAGGAGCUCGCCUGGCCGAUUGUUUGGGAGGCCAGCGUUGGAAUGAAUGUUCAAGUUAAACAUAUCAAUAACCAGAUCAAACUGACACUUGUGAUUCCACAUUGGUAGCACACGUUCCUGUGAGUUGAGAUAUCCACAUCCAUAUGUGUAAAAAUCAAAAAAAAAAAUUGUACGACACAAAAUUAAAGUUGUGGAUGUGUAAUACCACCAAAAGUCUGAAGAGUACAAAAAAGUGGUGGCCCUUAGAGGGAGAAUAAAAAAAGGGCCGACGAGUGUUCCGAGGAAUUUAAAGGUUUUCACCCUUUCCACCGUAGUCUCACAAUGUAAAGAAGCGUGUGCUGCACUUCUUGCUACUUGGGUCAAUGAUCAUCUCCUUGGUCUUGUCUGUGUUACGGGAGAGCUUAUUAUUUUGACACCAGUGCCACAAGUUCCCGCACCUCUCUUCGCAGAAAAAAAGGCAACAGGAAACAGUCACAUGAUGGCGGGGGGGCGCACCCGUGCACUCCAUUCUGGUAUCACUCAGAAGGGUAACUUGCCGCUUGCGCAACUAGAAGGCAGGCAGACAGGCUUGACUGUGUGACACCCGUGGCUCGACACAGGAGUUGAUAAGUUCACAGCUGAUCUCCGAGGAACGAGGUGGCAGACUUCUUUGGCUAGGUGAAACCAGUGGCUGGACGGCAAGAGUGUAGCAGAGAGAAGACAGGAGCUGGGUUUGUUUAAGGGACAGACUCACAGCUGGGACGAGGAAAGCUGGAGUAUUUAUGUCAGCUGGAGAUGACGGGAGAUGAGACAAGGCUGUGCCCCACCAGUGAUCAUUCCAAUGGCCGUAGUAUUAUCAGCAAACUUGAUGAUACUAGUGGUUUCCCUGGGAGGCCACACAGACGUAUUCGAAGAGGGUGUACAGCAGGGGACUCAGUACAGAGCCCUGGAACCAUAUGCAUAUGAGAGGUGGCAUAGAAGGUAUUCGGCUCAUCUGCAAGUGUGGGUUGGCCGGUUGUAAUGCCCCUCCACUGUUGGUAUCCUGUGAUGUGUUUCAGGCGUGCAACAUGCGCUGUGAAUGUCACGUUGUGGUUUUAUUUCCUGCCUUAUUUUGUAGUUUUCUGCUUCGUGUCUCCCUGGGUAACUUCACUUUCUGCCUGGUCCUGUCAUCCCCUGUGAUUGUCUGAUUGUUUCCACCUGUGCCCAAUCACCUGCACCUCCCUAGUGUAUUUAAGCAGUGAGUGUCUCUUGUCACUUGCCGUGUCAUUGUCUAUCGUCCUGGAUGUUCCUCGCUCCUGCCUGCCUUUUUGCCCCCUGUUCCUGUGUGUGUGUUUUUGCCCGUUGGCCUUUUGCUUUUUUGAAUUUUGACUAUUAAAGUCUUUAUUGCUUUAAACUCUGCAUUUGAGUCCUGCCUUCCCCGCAUCCCCUGACAGUGAAUCUUCAGUCUGUAUUCUCUCUUAGCUCUUCUGAUGGAUCACCUCAGGUCAUAUCUGGUCUUCUUGUAAUCACAUGUUUCAGUGUUAUGUCUACAGAGGCCAAAAAAGAUCUGUUUCAUCAUUGUCAGGUAACUUCAUGAUGGAAUCAGAACUUGCAAGUUAUUGAUUGAACUGCCAUCAUUUCCUCCACAACAAAAAAAGUUACUUUUUGAGACUCUGUUCAUUUUAACAAACACGUUUGCCUUUCAGUAUCUUAACCACCAAAACGGCGGAUCAGAAAAUAAUAAAAUCAUGUCCGUUCAAACAAACAAUCAAGUUUGUUUAUCCAACUACGGACUACACAUUGAAGUGUCAUGUGGUUAGAUUUUCAUUUAUUUAUAAAAGGAAAAGAGAACUACAGACCUUUUUUCUGUCAUUGAGGCAAUCCAUCUGGGAGCAAGCCAGCAGGAGCUUUUUAAUAAGGAAGGCAAGAAAACGGUGUUUAGAUUCAGAUGGCAUCUGUGUGAGAUGAUUUCUCAGAGGGCGACUGAGGAGAUGUCUAAGUCAAAUGUAUUGCUUGUUAGCCAAAUUAGAAAUUUGCUGAAGUGCGGGUACUUUAGUUUUACUGGGCUGUCCUCAUGGCAAAUUACUUGAACUGUAAUUAGACAAGUGGAGACGAACAAAGGAAAACAAAAUGAUAUUACUGAGAAUCACUUUUCUUGCUAUGACAGGGUUCGUAUUCGACAUUGAUAUAUUAUGGUAAAAUUGAUUAAACGAUUGUGGCUUGGUCUGUUAGAGCAAACUAUGAUGAAUUUCAUAUUAAAUUCAUCAUAUUUUGCUCUAUCAUAAGAUAGGUAUCCACUACUGGGUCUGAUGUUUCAGUUAGAACUGGCGAUCAGAAUUCAUAAGCCUGACCUCCUGACCUUUUUAUUGUUGCCCACAUCUGUAGUUUUGUUUAGUUCGUCAAGAGCGGGGGUGCAGGCGAGUCCAACGCUGCUCCAGUUUUGGAUUUUUCUACCUGAUUUUUCUACCAAAUUCACAAUUUAACCUACAUUUUAGUUUAAUGUAAUUACCGUACCAUGGCCACCAUACAUGGACAUUGUCAUCUCUUUUAUUUAUUUAUACUGCAACGCCUCGCUUUGGUUGCUGUUUACCUGUUGCACCUGCUCUCACCUGCUACCGUCUACUCCCUGGACAACUAGCUGGCUAGCUUUCAGUCUCUCGCUAGCAGGGCGACUACCGACGAGCCAGCAAGCUCCUUGCUGAAUACUCUAACUCGCUCUUGCUACUGCUAUCCCUGGGGGUUGCCUGGUUAGCCUCUCAGCUGUCCUUGUGCAGUCUGACUGCUGCUUUUCCAGCUAGCUGUUGGCUAACCGCCCUCUGGUCAGCAUCUAGCUAACGUUGUCAGCUGACUGAACAGCUUCCAUUGAUCACCUGUCUGCUGUGGAUCAUCCUGACGUGCCCGUUUACAAUUCCUGUCAACAAAUCUGUCGCCAGCGCCAGGCUUACAUCCUCCCAGCUGGUAUGGUUUUGCAAUACUCCACCUCGCAACACCUCAAAGUCAACAACUUCUCUGCUCCUCCCUUCAUCUCAGCCAUCAAAACACUAGAGUAGAGAGGCUGCGCUGGGAACCACAAGGUUGGUGGUUCAAAACCCCAGCUCUUCCAUGUCCCAUGUCCCAGCUGCUUACUAUUAUUAGAAUUGUACGAUCCUGCUAUCGGUUGUUUUGUUGGGAGAAUAACAGGAGUCAAUCAGGGCCACUGAUAGAGCAGGUUGUUAUUUUAUGGCCAGCUAAUUAUGGCCUCAAUCUUCACAUAUCAUUAUUGUUGGAAUGCAUUAAGCAAAAGUAUUGUUCUUCGAAUCUUUAUUCCGCCUUCUUCUAUUUCUUCCGUCGCACCUUUCAACUCCUUCACACUUUCAGCUAUUAAAACCGUUCCAAUAUUAAAAUAUUCAACUCCUUUCUGGCUUUCCAGCUAUGACUUUUCAGCUUUCUACCUCUUAAGCUUGAAUUUAUAUAAAUCAGUAAUCAUGAAUAUUUCUUCUAAUGGUUUUCCAAUUGAGAUCGUGUUCAAAUCCUCUUAAAAGUCUCAACUAUUUUAUGAAAAAAACUGCUUGUUAUCUAUUCUACUUUUUUCAUAAUCACUGUUUAUGUUUCACUAGUUCUUCGCUCCGUUGCGUUUCUUAGAGUGAGACCUGGAGAUGCUAGAGUGUGGGGCAGCGUCAGAAUCUGGUUAAAAAAAUAUGGAACUUCGGUCCUCAGAGCCAAAGUAUACAUUUUUGAGGCUUCAUUUUUAGCUUAACAUGAUGGCAUGGUUGUGCUGCUUGUAGUCAUGUGGCUAUGGAAUCCCAGAGUUCUUUAGUUUUGGCCUACGGAGACCAACAGUCACACAACCUCUGCUAAAAGCCACAUAGGCUCCAAUACAAAUCUGCCAACAUAUUUCUCAAAAAAUCCAGAAGGUACACGUUUUGUAAACUGCGACAGGAGCCGUAUUUAUUACCGGACAGACAUAAAAAAAAACCUCCCUGCGUAACAACGUUGUAUUUUUUAUAUAGCUGUUAUAGUUUUGCGCUGGUGGACACUUUCACAGUUUGAGGUGUGGAUUCUGUGUAACUCGCUGUCCUGUCUCUGCCCUUUGCAGCAGCUCGUUAAUGAGCCCAGGUGCGCCAUUGCCGUGGUUACUCGCACACACGCUGCAGUAUCUCUGUCUGUGACUCACAGCUGCUCCUGUUACCUCAUUAGUGGAGUCACAUGAAGCAGCUAUGCUUUCUGUUAACAGACCAUGAUGAUAAAGACACUCGCCCCCCCUCCACCCUGACCUCUUCUCACUGUUAAUCACUCACUUAGUCAGUCUGUCUGUCUAAUUCUUCACCCCUCUCCCUCUCUAUCUCUUCCUCACCACCCUUAUUUUUUAGAUAGCUGUUUUGCGCUAGAGGACACUUGUUUGAGGUGUGGAUUCUGUGUAACUCGCUGUCCUGUCUGUCCUUUUGAGCAGGUGCUCCGUUACCGUGGAUACCAGCACACACGCUGCAGUUUGUCAGUUGGUUAGUUUGUGUCACACAGCUGAUCCAUAAUAGUUGAUUAGUGGAGUCACAGAACACAGAUAUGCUUUCCCUCUCUCUUUCUUCCUCCUUCUCUUUCUUUCUCCUCCACUCUUUCCAUUUCCCCCCUCUCCCUUCCUCACUAUUCCACCCUUCCUCCUCCUCUUUUCCCCUCUUUCUUUCUCCCCUUUCUCCCUUCCUCCUCUUUUUCCAUUCCUCCCCUCUUUCUUUCCCCCCUCUCCCUUCCUCCCCCUCUUCCAUUCCUCCCUCUCUUCCCCCUCCCUUCCUCAGCCUCUUUCUUUCUCCCCCUCUUUCUCUUCCUUCCUCCUCCCCUCUUUCUUCCUCAUCUUUCUUUCUUCUCUUCUCCUUCCAUUCUUCCCUCUCCUUUUCUCACCAUUCCACCCUUCCUCACCCUCUUUCCAUUCCUCCCUCUUCCUCUUUCGUUCUCCUCCUCUUUUCUCUUCCUCCUCUGCUUUCUUUCUCUCCCUCUUUCCCCCCUCUCCCUUCCUUACCCUCUUUUUAUCCUCUUUUCAUUCCUGCCCUCUUUCUUCCUUCCUCCUCCUCUCUUUUGUUCUCCUAUUUCCAUUCUUCCCCUCUUUCUUCCUCCUCAUUAUUUCUUCUUCUCUCCUGCCAUCCCCCCCUCUCCUUUUCUCACCAUUCCACCCUUCCUCACCCUCUCUUUCUCCGUUCCUCCCUCUCCCUUCCUCACUUUCUCUCCCUUUCUCUCUCUUCCUUCAUCCCUCUCUUUCACCUUUGCUCUCUCUAGUGUGCUCUCUCCUUCUACCUUCCCCAAUGCCUUUUAAAAGUAACAUUAACCAGUAACAUUUUAAAAUAUAACCCCCAUGGAGGGAAUUUUACUAUAGUGUUUGUAAUGAGGUCUAUCGAAUAAUAGUUUGAAGGACUAACAUUCUGCCCCCCCACACCCAACAACUACUAAUAUCACUAGUACAACUAGUAGUGCUACUUCAACUAAUACUGCUACUACCAUUACUAAUACUACUACUAGUAUUUCAACUGGUGUUAAUACUAAAUGACUCUUACUACUACUAAUACUAAUAGUAGUUGUACUAAAAAUACUAUUUCUACCAGUAGCAGUGACUCGGCAACUGAUAUUACUACUCUUACUACUAUAAGAAAACAUACUACCAGUAUUUAUACUGCUAUUAAUACCACAACUACUACUCAUUUUACUACAAAUACUACAAUGACUAACAGUUUAGUACUACAAAUGAUACAACUAGUAGUACUACUAACACUAUUUUUCUACUGCUAUUGAUACUAAAACUACUACUUAUUCUAAUAAUAUAUUAUUACUGCCAAAAUUACAAUUGCUACUAAUAUUACUUUAGUAGUAUUAUUAUAUAGUAGUAUUAUAUUUUUUAAGACUCAACUCAGCUUUUGUCAUUUCUGAAUUUUCAGCAAUAUUUAAAUUUAUAAAUUAAUUUUUUUCUUGUAUUUUUUAUUCCAAUAUUUUUUUAGUCCAUUUCAGAUUCUUCCAUUUCUGUAUUUCCACCAAUUUCUUGUAAUAUAUUUAAGCUUUUCUCAACUGUGUAUUUUCAGCAAAUCUAUUGAAUUUCAGCUUUUCUGAUGUCUGUACUUUCAUCAAUUUUUGAUAUUCUUUCUUCUAUAGUUGUUUCAUUUCUUUAGUUUCAGCAAAUCUGUGGAAAUUCCUUUCCGCUUCUCCCAUUUCUGUAUUUUCAGCAAUUUCAAAUUAAUUUCAGCUUUUCUAAUAUCUGUAUUUUCAGCAAAUGUAUAAAAAUUCCCUUCAACUUUCUUCAUCAAGUUCAUUUCAGGUUUCAGCAUUUUGCAUUCCAACGCAUUUUCAGCAGGAAAUGCAUUUUAGAUAGAUGCUUUUUUUUAUAGACUUUAAUUUACUCCAGUGGGUAAUUUCCUUGUUUGGUUUUUCAUUCCAUGAAAUCAGCUGCUGCAGUGGUUUUGUGAAGUUUUGUGCGGACCCUACAUUCCAAACCGCACACUCUGCUCUACAUCUGCCAAACUGCUUGUUCCUCCCUCACUGAGAGUAAAACACUUGACAAGAUCACAACUCUUUGCUGUCCUGGUUCCUAAAUGGUGGAAUGAGCUCUCUGAUGACACCAGGACCGCAGACCGCAAAAAAACUGAUCAAACAGUGUGUCUGUCUGUUGGAGGUAUUUAGGGUGGGAGGCUCAACAAUAACAUUGUUUCAUCAUGUUUACAAUCCAACGCAUACGUAUGUUUAAUCUAUGCAUUUUGUUGGAACAUGUGUCCAUGUAGGGUCAGAGAUUAUCCACUGAGUGUGUGCGUGUGUUAUUUAGAGAAACAUUAGAGAGAUUUGGUCUACCCAUCUUUUUCAUAUAUCCCAUUACCAGCUGGUGGAAUCCAAAGUAUGUGUGUGUGUGUGUGUGUGUGUGUGUGUGUGUGUGUGUGUGUGUGUGCGUUUGAGACAGGGAGAAUCUUUAAGACUCAACAUGCGUUCUUGUCUAGACUUGUGUUCUCGUGGACUCGUGAAAUGUCAUCAGUCGCAGCCCGAGUACUGUGAGGUGUAGUUAACGGGACCGCCAGAGCUCUCCAGCAGCGGGCGGUCGGCCUCAUCUCGGCCCGCAGGGAGCAGCCUGUUUUAGGCAAGUCUUCUGUGAAAUGCUCUGCUGGUUUUCACGUCUCAGCGACGGUUAUACAUGAGCCAGAACUAUACUAUAACUAUAAGAGUGAGUGUUCAUAUCUUCUAGUCUGUUGUCAGAGACUGUUUUUUGUUCACCGCUAAUGUUAAGUUUGUUGGAGGGCAAGUUUAGAUUCAUAACUACACGUUUUUAUUAAACUUUACCAUAUUGUCAGUGUGCAGGCUUGUAAUGUUCUGAACAUUCUCUCUCACUUGUUUUAUAGUGUGUGUGCAUACCAGGCUCUCAAUAUUCCGCACACCCAUGGCUUUUAUCACAGAGUCACAACUCAUCCAUCACGGCUAAUCACUUGUCCUCCAUUGUCAUGUUUCUGCUCACACUCUCUCAUGUGAGGCGGUAUCGGUGUCACACUGAGAGAUGCGCAGCACGUUUCCACUUAACACAUAGCGACGCAAUAUCCAGCAUUCAGCCCACGCACAAUGCCCCCCCCCCCGACUGAACUAAUUCUAAUUCAUGGCCAGGCUGGUGACAGCAGCCAACCCAUCACCCUCAUGCUACCCUAAAACGCUUUCUUUCCUUGCCCUCUUUGUUUGUUAUGUUUACUAUUCCUGUGUGGCCCCAAUGAAGGUGGUCCGAGUCGUCCUUUCACUGCGAUUCAAAAAAAUGGCACCCCCCCGAAGGAGGAAUCCUAGGAGAAACACUGUUAAUACAGUAAUAUUUGUGUUGUAUAUAGUAAACUAUGCAAACUACGGAUGAGUAAACUUUUGUUUUUCAGAAAGUUUUUCACAAGUUAUAGUUAUCAUCUCUCUCCGUCCACACAUCAAGCAUCAAUCUACACUUAUAAAACAACAACUAGCAAUUGUUGAUCUGAUAAAGGUUUUCUAAUUGAUCUGACUCAAAAACAAAGCUUUGCCAUAAACAACUAACAAAAAACGUGUCAGGCCAAACAAACCUGACGUUGCCCUAAAAAGUAUUUUCAGUUCACAAGCAUUUAUGAGUUGAGCCCCAUUUUUUUUAUUUUACGAAAACCUUUUACGACUGCGCGCAUGCGCCUUGGUGUCUUGUACGUGAUUUCUGAGUUGGAGUCGGCACUAAAAGCGGGCGUGGUGGUCGGACAUCUUGUGUGAAGGCAAAUUUAACUGAGCCGAAGAGAUUCUCAAACUACUUGUCAACCUGAAGUUUCCCCUAAUCAGGUAAGUGUUAUUUUUACUAGACAGCCAAUGUUCUCUGUACAGUCCUAUGUCAAAAGAGCUACCAACGUUAGCUUUGUUACCGCGACAUGCAGUUUCUGCAAUAUGCAUUUAAGUCACCGUUGCAUCUUAAAAAGAGAUUCAUAGAACUUGUGGCAAUGUCAGUUCAAAAUAGGGACAUACAUUCAGUGUUUUAACUAUUCAAGUUCAUUUUUAGUAUUCCGCUAUAAGUUAAGGGAAUGUACACGCUCGCACGCAGUCAUCUUUGCCUGUAAAGUGAAAAUGCGUGGAAUUCUAAAUUCCAGUUCAGAAAAAAUCUCCUCAGCACCUCAAAAUCUGUCCUUCAAUUUCAUUGUGAAUACCAGUAGAUCAGGGUAACUGCCAUGGCAAGUUUAGUUUUCCUGCAGUAUAAUACUUUCAGAAGAUAUGUGGAAGUGUCCGUUGCCAGUUCACAAGAGGAGCUGACACAUUAGUAGAAUGUCAGUGUGUCUUUUAACUGCGCUAGUUCAUUGUGGUUUGAGCCCAUGGAAAACGUGCUCUUGUGCAGCCACUUAGUAUGUUGAGGUAGUGUUGUAAUGUGAAACAAAUCUGUUUGAAAUCUGUGUACAUAACGCCAAACUGACCUUAUUAAUAUAUGCCACUGACAGCCUCACAAGAAUGUCCUAAUUAGGGGGACGAGAUAAUUUAAGUUGACAGAAGUUUUUUUUUGUGUAUCUACAAUAUCUGUCAAUCUUUAAAACGCAAAACAUAAUCAACAAUGUAUUGAUGGUUAAUGAGAGAAAAAUAGAUUUUCAGAUGGAUGACGAGAUGUGAUGGUUAGACAGAUGGAUAGAUGGAAGCUGACAGGCCGUAUGGGUGUGUCUUUUCUGUUGGAAACCCUCGCGCAGCCUCCCGUACACACUGCACAGCCCCCUCCCUUCCACCACCAGUCAUGCAGCCAAGUGCACCUACAAGCUGCCUCCAAUCAGCGAGGAAAACCCGCUGAAAUCUCUCCUGCACGAAGUCAAACCUGAACCGUCUGCCACUGAAAGACGGGAUCGUGGACGUAGCGGGCGGAACACCCUACAAAGUAGGACCGCUGUCGGACAGAGUGACGCGGCCGAGCCUCGGUGCGGAUUACUGCGUCCUCCCAACGGGUGGCGAUUCUUCUCUUUUUCUCUCCAAAAACCGGCGAGUUUCGGUAUGCACAAGCGUGCACGCUCUCACGGGGAGUUGUAAGUAGAGCUUCAGUCGUUGCCACGCCAUCGUUAUUGGCCACGCCACGCCAUGCAAUUAUUUUACCAUCCUAAAUAAUCAUUUCCAGGACUCCUCGGUGGAUUAUUAUCAGAGUUGUUUGUCAGUCUUGCGAGUUAUAAUUGCUGACGGAGGACGGAGCUAGACACCGCCCUGACCCGCUUCGAGUCUGCCGGACCCGGAUUGCAUAUUCUUUCUAGGUUUCGGACAGGUGCCAGACCCCCCGCGCGCUGACGGGGGGAAGCCGCGCGCAUUACGGGAAUAUCUUUUUUUUUUGGACGGGGUGUAGGGGAAUCGAAAUAGUUUUAUUUGGCCCAAUCUGGACGGAUAGCUGCACAUUCUGGAGGACCCCCCCCCCCGUUCAAAUUCCGCAGACUGAUGCUCGGAUAUUUGAAACGUAAUUUGCACUCAAGGACACCCUGCGCAUCGGUGGGUGUAGUUUCUUAUUUGGGGUUUAGAGCGAUCACGCGCGAUAUAUAUUAACGUUAAUGUGUGUUUUUAAAUGGGAAUUGAGAUGCGCAUCCUCCACCCGCCCCCAUCGUUUGUGGAUGUGCACUUGAACGCUUGUCGUGGGUCUGCACAGUGAGGACCACCGGCACCUGGAUGGCCGGUUCGCCCUCUUUUCCUCUCUCUGCUGCCCGAAUGCGCGCACGUCUGUGCCGGUAAUUCCGCCUCUCCUGCUGCCACCCAGUCCCAACACACACAAACACACGCACGCACACGCAAACACAGUCCCGUCUAUUCAGCUCCCAGCAAAACUACCAAUAGAGCUUCCUUCUGCUCGUAUGUGCACGGGAAAGGAGUCGCGCGGUAGAGGAGCGCAGGAGUUGGGAUAAGCAGCCGAACCUGAUCACCUUUUUUCUUUUCUUUUUAACGCCUGUCAAGGGGCUUCUCGUUGUGAUUUAAAACUCAUCUGCUAGCUGACGGAGAGGAGGAAGAGGAAGAUAAAGGGAUUCUGGUGAAAAAGACGCAAACUGAGAGGAGAGAAGGUGGAGAGAUCGAUGAAGGUAAGGCUCAUUGAACGCAGGGUGUGUGAGAUGGCGACCGAGCUCUGCUAUGCAGUUGCUUUUUUCCUCUUUGCCAAAGGGAUGCCAGGCUCGCUGCAGUGCCAACAGGAGUUUUAUUCUUAGUGUCCAGGAAAUGAAUCAUCUCUGUAAUCUGAUUAGUGCUCGGACUUAAUCCCGCUCCCUCUCUGACUGCUCUUCUGUUUUUUUCUGUUUGUGCCAGUGCGCUGGCACUGUUGGUGGACUCUUCCAUCCUCUCAGGCGGGUGAUUUAUUUAAAGCUUUCCAAAAACACGUAGCGCACAGCCCCUCGCAUGCGGUGUUCCUCUCUGCUGCUUCAGACAGUGGAAGACUUCGUUGUUAUUUUUCAUCUUACUUCUGUACUGCGAUGCUUUUUUUUCUUGGCUUUGCUGACAGCCCCCGCUGUUCCUCUAUGGGAAUGUGUGCGUGCGCGCAUCAGGCCAAUGCGCGCGCAUCUACGGGGGCGUCCGUUCACGCGCUUUGGUUGAAGCGCAGUAAUAUAACCCAUUCCAGAGGGAUCUCUCUCUCUCUCUCUCUGUUUCUAAAGCUGCCUCAUCAUGCCGCUCCAGUUGACUGGCGUUACAGCCACAUCUAUUAUGCAGGAGGCUUGGAGAUGAGAACACCAGAGAGGAGAGGGUGGGGGGGACCAUCCCCUAUCUCCCAACAGAGGAUGCCUAAAAAUAAAAGAGAAAGGCAGAGGAGAUGAUGUGGGAGAAGAGGGGUAGUUGGUAAAUACAAGUAUUUGGACAAGCUGCUUGUGGAUUGUGAAUAGAUUCAAACAAGUUGACCAUCAUUCAGGACCAUGGGAAGCUACUUAAAGACAGCCUAGAGUCCAAAGAGCAGUCUAACAAUGUAAAGCGUGCCGGUAACGAGGUUAGCCAAUGUUUCUGAUGGGAUGGAGUGAAUGGAUGUGGUUUGAGAUCUCUAGCAAUGUCGUUGAACCACAGUGAGCUCUGGGUGGUUUCAGAACCAUGGAGAGCACUUACAGUUGAAAAGUGGACUGGUCUACAGGCCUGGGACAGCUCCUUAGACGUCUUCGGGUUCCCAGGCACAUUGUAAUAGAAAGUGGCUUCACUGCGUGUUGAGGUACAUUUACGCUCGACGGAUGUAAACACAGCAGAAAAUCUCAGUUCCAUUGGUCCGUGUUUGAGCUUCCCUAUAUAAUGAGAUGAAAUGAGCUAGAAGGUUGUGUUCUGCAGGUCCAACUCUCAACAUGUCGUCAGCAACCUGGCCUGCUGAAGUGUUCUUGAGCCAGACAUCUGAAUUACUUCCACUUUCACCCGUUACUGUUAGUCCGCUGACCCCGACCUCUGACCUUGAGAAGAGAAUACCGAUAGUACAUUCCAUUAAAUAUGUAACUCUUGUUAAUGUAGUUUCAGUCCACGGAUAUAACCAUAUCCAUAUGAUCUAUAAUUGAUUUUUAAAAUCACAAUUUGAUUGCAAAGAUCUUUUGGAACCCCACAAGAAUAAAAGCUUUUGCAGUUUAGUGCUUCUUCUGCUUUGUUGUUACAUAUUUUGAUUUAUACGUAAUUCUUUCAAUAAUUAACCGUGCAGUUUUUUGUUGCAUCUAUAAUUUGCUACUGGUUUUAUUAUAUUGAAAUAUAAUAAUAUUAAUAGAAAUAUCAACAAUGCAGGCCUCAACAGUAACUUUAUGGUGGUGUGGUUGCCAUGCAUUAGCUGUUUGUUACAUAAACUGGGAUUAUGAUCUUCAUUUAAUCACCAUAUAUUUUAAAUAAUUGGGAAAUGCCACAGUCACAUCAACUUUAUAAAAAUAUAAAUGAAAGAAAUACAUUUUAUUGUAUAUAGCAAAAUUGUAGUGCAACAAAUAUUGAACUAAACUUGUGUUUUGUUUACUGUCUAAAUAUUUAGACAUAUAAUAUACCACUAAAUAAGUGGACAUUAAACGGGACAAUAAAGUGGUUGCCAAAAUUUCUCAAAAUGGUUACCGAUGGUUGCUCUUUCUGUUGAGCCCUAAAAUUACAAAGUUUCUACUACUUUUAAUUUAUGAGGCUGAAAUACAUUUGUGAUCUUAAGAGGGAGCAGGAUUUGGGGAAAAGGAGGGGCGUCUGUGCUUUUGGCAGUCUUUGUUGAUUCUUUCCGGCCUGCUCUGGCAAAGGCCUACUCACACAGUAAACAAGAGACAGGCUUGCUUAUACAAGCAAACUGGCAGACAGGUUGGCACGGACAGAGAAUGAAGCCAGGAGAGAAUCCACCUGGUGCUUGAUUGUGAUAAAAGGAGGAAAUGUGUUAAUGCGACUGGAGUGACGCGUUGUUUUGUGGCGACGAUCAUCCUAUGAACAGCAUUACCGAGUCCUUCACUUCCCAUUAGCAGAGAGACUGCAUCUCACCUUCACACUUUUUCUCAGCAUCCCGCUCUGAUGUGUUUUCCACCCUCCUCUACCUGUGGCACAUUUUGUUGGCUGCCUUUCCCAUUUCAGACAAACAUGGGAAAGACUCAACUGCCCUCAAGCGCGAGUCAUAUGCAUCUAACUGAGUAGAAGCUGAAAAUGUGAUUAAUGGAAAAGACUUUGCAUCCUUGAAGUCAGUUCUACCUCUGAAUCAGUUUUGGAACCUGCUGAAAGGAAACAAACAUCUGACUACUCCAUACAGUGUACACUAAGAAGUCAUCAGGACAUUCCCCAUUUGUUUGAUUAGUGCCAUUUUGAAGCCUUCGGUUUGGGGGUUUUCCGUCCCCAUUUUGAAAUACAGCCGUUGCCAGUUUGGCUUAUUUUCAACAAAUUUAUGCAAUCUUUUCAAGCCAGCAUGCAGAAAUACGUGUUUUUUGAACAGUUUGAUGUGCAAUGCAGUUGUUAGAUGUUUUGUUUGGUGGAGUAGACCUUCAGAUAAAUUCCAGAAGCGGUACUUGUUACACAUAAAUGCUUGUUAUGUAACAACGCCCCCGCUCGAGCGACAGAUGAGCAGGUAAGAGGCCGUAACAAAUAUCCAGAUCAUAAUGUGUGAUUUACAUUCCCGUGGAAACUCGCAUCUUGUCUGGUAAAAUAAUUAAUCCGUGGCUUAAACUCCCUCUGCCUGGAGCUACACACUCAAUCCCGCCAUCCAUUGACCAUCUGUUUCUUCAUCCAUCUGUCCAUCAAAACCAGCUCACUGGCCUCGCCUGCAUUCUUUUUUAUUUUCAGAGAUUCUCAGAUUGGCUGUGGGGAGAUGUGUUGUAGCUCUGCAGCUUUCUACUGAAAACAUUCCCUUCACAUGAAAUGCUACAGUGGUUGACUGAACUUCUUUCUUUGGUCCCCAGGUGGUCCUUCUUAUCAGCAAAAUGUAAAUUCCUUUGCAGUGCUGCACACUUUGUUGGCAUGUGUUUUAUUUUUUACUCAGUUGGGGUGAAAUUACAAACUACGAACAGUAGAACUGCUACUUUCAUUUAGAGUUUUCCCAAAAGCAAAGAGAACGAUGGAAAAUGUGUUUACCUUAAUCCCCUUCCCCAUUUUACAACAUCUUUAUAACACUAAAAGGUGUUGACUUAUACUGAUGAAGAUGAUAAAGUAAUGACUAUAAUAGUAGCUGAAAACUAAACUAAACCGGUGUGUGGCUAUUCAUUCUCUCGGUGAUCUAAAUGGUUGUCAGUAGUUGGUGGCUUUUACCUGGUGCAGUAAUAUUCACUUACUCCCACACAUGACACAAAUACUGUUAUAAAGUGUUCAUUUAUUUAUGGCCCUCCUAAUUUUCACUCCUCCUCCUCAUGUCCUUUCUAUAGUUUAUUUUAGUAAAUUGUUUAGUGAUAAAGGCUUUUCUAAAGAGAGCACAGGCAUGUGACCUACAUUUGUGCCCAAAAUAAGGGAGUGCAGUUCUUUUGCUUUGUCGGACUAAUGGAACAAUUAACAGUGCUGUAAAAUGAUAGAGACCGAGGACCCAAAAGCUAUUGUGAUUGUUUUUUUUUCUUCAUAAAAAAAGUAAUAAAAGUUAUGAUAUUUACAUAAAUUCUAGUUAUUUAGUUAAUAACCCCAAACAAAAUGGUGUUUUGCUCAGAUUGGAACAUGGAGGUGUCCAUGCUGGCAGUUACAGCUGCUAAGGAUGUUAAUCUGAUCUCAGUUCGGUCAGGAAGCUUAAACAGCUGAUUGGAAGAGAACUCUCCCAGACAUGUUUGAGGAGUGCUCCAAACUUCAGCAACAAUUAACGGUUUCAUAAAUAAAGCUUUCUUGUCUUUUUUUUCUUUGUCAAAUAAGGAAUCCCUUUCCCUCGCGCAGUAAAGAUCCAGUCUGAAUGCAAUAAAACAGCUCAGAGCAGAUAACGUGCAACCAGAGGGUCAUUUCUUCUCUUCCGCUGGCCACCGGAGUGAGCCUUCACGUCCAAUCUGACAGCAGAGGUAUUAAUGAGAAAAAUGGUAAAUCGUGUCAAGUUUAAAUUGAAUGUGAGCCUGCGUGAUGCCCCAUGAGGGCCAAAAGUGUGCGGACACAUGACAGGCACAACUCCAGUGUAAAUUCAAUAUGGGUGUCAGCAUGCUAAUCUCAGCAGGACACCGAUGUAAUGCUCAUCACGUCUCGCUGUGUCGUUCCGUUUCCACUGUAGAUCAAUCUACUUUAUCCAUCUCCAUCUUUUCUCCUCUCCACACAUCUCCCUCUUUUUCUCUUUGUUGCUUGAUUUAUUCCUCCGUCCGUCCGUCUCUCUCUCUGCCUCUCUUUUUCAAGUUGAAGGUCAUAUCUGACAGCUCCCUGAUGGAUGGUGUAGUAUGACGAAAGGGAACCGAACACAGUAGCACUCAGUUUUUGUUGUCGAUUGGUUGUUUUGAGCCGGGGCGGAGUGGGGAACCACACCUGUAAAAAUGAUGAGCAGCUGAUGGAGUGUGUGUGUGCACCUAUGUGUGUGAUUGUUGUAAUUAGUCCAAUGAAUAUUUAAUUUAUAAAGAACUUGAUCAUUUGAGGUUUGCAACCUUUCAAGGGGGGCGCCCCCCCAUUCAAAAACUGAUAUAAUAAGCUGCUGUCCACCAUGAGAUCUCAGAGCAACAUAGAUUUCAAUUUAAAUACAAUUUUUAAGGUUUAUGUUCUAGGAGGUCUGUCCCCCCCAUGAAUGUCUCGUACUCCUUCACAAUUCGUGGCCUGGUCUGAUUUGCUUCAGCAUCAAGCUUUGCCUUGAGGUUCAACUGCACAGUUGGAGGCGGAGAUCAGCUUAACAGAUCUGUUAUCAUACAAUCUGACAGGGGCCAUGGGAUCCCGCUUUCUCCACCCUUGUAUCCAAAGAUGCUCUGCCUUUUCUUGGCAAGACUUUUCUCAUCGUCAAG
ensembl:lncRNA